rnacentral:rRNA from 1 species
AUUGAACGCUGGCGGCAGGCUUAACACAUGCAAGUCGAGCGAGCGGCGGACGGGUGAGUAAUGUCUGGGAACCUGCGUGAUGGAGGGGGAUAACUACGGAAAACGGUAGCUAAUACCGCAUACCCUCAGAUGUGCACAGAUGGGAUUAGCUAGUAGGUGGGUUAAUGGCUCACCUAGGCGUCGAUCCCUAGCUGGUGUGAGAGGAUGACCAGCCACACUGGAACUGAGACACGGUCCAGACUCCUACGGGAGGCAGCAGUGGGGAAUAUUGCACAAUGGGCGCAAGCCUGAUGCAGCCAUGCCGCGUGUGUGAAGAAGGCCUUCGGGUUGUAAAGUACUUUCAGCGAGGAGGCGUUACUCGCAGAAGAAGCACCGGCUAACUCCGUGCCAGCAGCCGCGGUAAUUC